rnacentral:rRNA from 1 species
AGUUUGAUCAUGGCUCAGAAUGAACGCUGGCGGCGUGCCUAACACAUGCAAGUCGAGCGAGAAAGCUCCUUCGGGAGUGAGUAAAGCGGCGGACGAGUGAGUAACACGUGAGAACCUACCCUUUAGUGAAGAAUACCCAUGAGAAAUCGUGGUUAAUGCUGCAUACGUCCCUUCGGGGAGAAAGGUGGCUUUAUGCUACCGCUAAUGGAUGGGCUUGCGGACUAUCAGCUUGUUGGUGGGGUAAUGGCCCACCAAGGCUAUGACGGUUAACCGGCCUGAGAGGGUGUACGGUCACGUUGGAACUGAGAUACGGUCCAGACUCCUACGGGAGGCAGCAGUGAGGAAUAUUGCACAAUGGGCGAAAGCCUGAUGCAGCGACGCCGCGUGGAGGAUGACGGCCUUAGGGUUGUAAACUCCUGUUAAGUGGGAUAAAAUCCCUGCUUCUAAUACAGGCAGGGGAUGAUAGUACCAUUAGAGAAAGCACCGGCUAACUUCGUGCCAGCAGCCGCGGUAAUACGAGGGGUGCAAGCGUUAUUCGGAUUUAUUGGGCGUAAAGGGUGCGUAGGUGGUAUGUUAAGUCUGUUGUUAAAUUUUCCGGCCUAACCGGAAGCCUGCAAUGGAAACUGGCGUACUUGAGGAUGGAAGAGGGAAGUGGAAUUCUCGGAGUAGCGGUAAAAUGCGUGGAUCUCGAGAGGAACACCGAUGGC